CACGUAGGGCGCAAGCGUUGUCCGGAAUUAUUGGGCGUAAAGAGCUCGUAGGCGGUCUGUUGCGUCCGCUGUGAAAACUCGGGGCUUAACCCCGAGCCUGCAGUGGAUACGGGCAGACUAGAGGUAGGUAGGGGAGAAUGGAAUUCCCGGUGUAGCGGUGAAAUGCGCAGAUAUCGGGAAGAACACCCGUGGCGAAGGCGGCUCUCUGGGACGGUACUGACGCUGAGACGCGAAAGCGUGGGGAGCGAACAGG
rnacentral:rRNA from 1 species